GCCGUAGCCAUUGUCCAAAAUUGCCCGGGCGGACCAAUCGCCGCCCGCCGUCUCCAUCUUUGCUCUCGGCCAAUCCCCGCGGCCAUUGUCCAAAAUUGCGAGCCGGACCAAUCGCGGUCCGCCAUUUCCAUCUUUCCGACGGCCAAUCACGACGGCGCAUCUCCAAAAUUCAACCGUCCGGCCUUCACGCAGCCGCAGAAGACCUCUACUGUCAUUUCAAAUUUACCGCCUCGAAUGAUUGGAAAGACGUCCAACCUUCAGCCGUCUGUAACUACAAAAGAUGGGUCCAAACAAAAAAAACAUAGGGCCGUGGGAGAGGAGGAGGAGAUCAGGCGUUUGGCCUCUGAGGCAGGAAACAGACCAGCACCUCGGCAGAAGAAGUGGCAUGAUCUAUAUCUGAAGCCUUCCAGUUCGCUCCUUGUCUCAGUGCAUCCAGGAACCUCAUGUACAGUGGCACAGCAGCCAGGGCCUUCACCUGGUGAGACGCUACAGCCAGGACUCUACCUGCAGGUUCACCACCACCACCACCACCAAAGGAUGUCUCCUUAGCUAGUGGUGAACCUUGGCAUCAACCUCUGAUGUAUCCAGCCCCAUCACAAGCCCCACAAAAAGAAAAGUGUCACCACCUGGACACACACUGUUUCUCCUGUGUCUCUUCCUCCUUCUCCUGUUCCUGUAUCAAGCCUCUUCCAUUCUGCCUCCACUGCUACAGCUGAACCCCCUCUGCUCCUCUCACCUUGCCAUUGCCUAAAAAUGUGGGGAUCGUACCUGUUUCAGAUGCUGCCUGGCUGCCCACAAAGCUGCUAAAGACAUUUCAGCAGCCCUGUGGAAAGACCAGCGUCUUUUCAAAGACCUGAAACUGUGGUAUGAUCCACCAGAGUCUUCCCUCAUAUACCAUCAGGUCCUCACUCCUGAGCGCUUCUUCCACCACGACUUUUCUCAUGGAAAAAACAUGGUGUGACAUUCUUUGUCAAUAUGUAUAUAAUGUAAAUAGUUUUAAAAGAAAAAAGUCUUAAUCUGCUGCUGUUCUAUUUUGUUUUUUAACUUUAACACACGUGUUUGUGAGUGUGUGUGUGAAAUUUGUAAUAAAUUUGUUACAUUUCAGUGACUGUCUUCAUUUUUUACUGCAAAAAUGCAAACUCACUCAUAGAAAACGAUAACAUUGUUGCAGUACUUCAUUCAGAAAUAUUAAAAUGACUAUAAAAGUACAUUUAGGUACAUGUGAUAACACUUGGUAGUAGUCUGUGUUAAAGGCCUCAUGUUCCAACGGUGGAAUCGAACCAGCGACCUUUGGGUCAAGAGCCUCCUAUGCUUUUCUGCAGUUAAGUGUCAUAUUUGGUUAAAUUUCUCUAAUUAAUAGACCAGAAUAUGUGUGAUUUUACUUGUGAUGGACAGCAGAGACACUAAUAACUACAGGGUUCUUCCAUCUUUUCAAAAUUUCCUCUCUUUUCCUUCUUUUUCCUUCUUUUUCCUUCUUCCCCCUUCUUCCCCCUCUUCCUUCUUCUUCCCCCGCCUAUCCAGACUAUUGU